rnacentral:lncRNA from 1 species
CUUUUCAUUCCCGUUGUUAUGGAGGGCCACAUCUGCCAGAGCCUGGAGUCUGCGAAGGCCGGGACCCGGUUCCCCGGCCCACAGUGGGGGUGUGCAAACCCGAGAGAACUGGGUUGCAAAUUCGUGAAGAAUCAGCAUCAUGUUUGGCAGCUGAGUAUUGGAGCCAGGAGCCUGCCAUGAGGUUAUAUUCCCAGAGGAUGUCAGUCCCAAGGACCAGUAGCUGCCAUCAGUUUGGAUUCUGAAAACUAACUGGCAUCAACACUGGGUGUAGAAACAUGCUUGCCUUAUGUAUCAGAGGACAUGCUCAGCAGAUCCAAGAGAUAUAUUUGGCAACUUUUUCUAGAAAAGGCACAUUGGGUAUCAUUCAUUACAUUCUUGAGUUUUUUUGGUAUUUUUUUUUUUUU